rnacentral:lncRNA from 1 species
GACAGUGAACUAACAAAAUAACACACUAAUUUACAUUUAAUAUUUAAUAAAAUAGAAAACAACAUUAUGCAAAAAAGUUCACACAUGCUCAAAUGAAGAAAUGAACCCCUUAUGUAGCAAGAGUUUCAUGUAUAAUAAAACUUCAACUCAUAAAAGUGUGCUAAAUUAACAUGUACUUUAACAGAAUAUUUUUUGUUAUUUCUCUAUUUUAACUCAAUAUCCUACUGCAAUCCCACAACUUUACAUACACAAAAAUAAUCCCACAACUAAACCAUGAAUUUGAGAGUUGCAAAAGUAAACUUUCUCAUAACUACAUAAUUCAUUUUAAUAUAAACAUCUUAAAAAAACACUAAUAAAGGUAAAUGUAUUCAUUCCAUGUUUCUCUUUUAAAAAAUAUUUACUCAACUUUUAAUACAUAAUGCACGUAACCAGAAGUUCGUGUAAAAUUAAAAGAAAAAAAAGUUCAAAUACUAAGAAUUCUUAAAGCCACCAUAUUAAUAUAAAAAAACAUUAGAACGUUCUUUCAUUUAAUAAAAGAGUGAAAACAGACAGAAUAUAUCCUAAGAUUGCAUCUUUUGGUCUUAUCUCAAUCGACACUUAUUUUAUAGAGUUAAAGAAAGAACCUAAAGAUGGAAAAUAACUUGAAUGACUAGCCGAUAACCUCGUUUAUCCACCAAUCAAACGAACACAAUAAUUGAAACUAGCAGUACCAAAAGAACCCAGAAGACACCUUGAAACUCAACAACUUUCUCUUUUUUUUUUUUUUUUGAGAAGAAAGAACUAUAUAUUUUUUUGAAAGGUUUUUGCUCUUUUCAGGGAAAUACUGAGAAAGGGUGCUGAAUUUUUUCUUCAGCUCCCCUUUUUUCUGAUCUCCC